rnacentral:rRNA from 1 species
AACAAACGCUGGCGGCGUGCCUAACACAUGCAAGUCGUACGAGAAAGGGUCCUUCGGGGCCUGAGUAAAGUGGCGCACGGGUGAGUAACGCGUGGAUAAUCUGCCCUUCAGUUGGGAAUAACUCAUCGAAAGGUGGGCUAAUACCGAAUAAUGCUGUGAGACCUCGGUUGAUCAGCCAAAGAGAGCCUCUGCUUGCAAGCCCUCGCUGAAGGAUGAGUCCGCGUACCAUUAGCUAGUUGGUAGGGUAAUGGCCUACCAAGGCGACGAUGGUUAACUGGUCUGAGAGGAUGAUCAGCCACACUGGAACUGAGACACGGUCCAGACUCCUACGGGAGGCAGCAGUGAGGAAGCUUGCGCAAUGGGGGCAACCCUGACGCAGCAACGCCGCGUGAGUGAGGAAGGUCUUCGGAUCGUAAAGCUCUGCCGGAUGGAAAGAACCGCAUAGGGGUAAACAGCCCCUGUGUCUGACGGUACCAUCAAAGGAAGCACCGGCUAACUCCGUGCCAGCCGCCGCGGUAACAC